rnacentral:tRNA from 2 species
UCGGGCAUCGUCUAACGGCAGGACAUCGGGUUCUGGUCCCGAGAGUCAAGGUUCGAAUCCUUGUGCCCGAA